ACGGCUCAGUAAACACGUGGCUAACCUGCCCUUGGGACGGAAAUAUCCCCGGGAAACUGGGGUCAAUUUCCGAUAGGCGAAGAACUCUGGAACGAGUCUUCACCCAAAAGACGUUUAGGGCAUGCUCCUAGACGUUGCCCAAGGAUGGGGCCGCGGCCGAUCAGGUUGUUGGUGAGGUAACGGCUCACCAAGCCUAUUACCGGUACGGGCCGUGGGAGCGGUAGCCCGGAGAUGGGCACUGAGACAAGGGCCCAGGCCCUACGGGGCGCAGCAGUCGCGAAAACUUCGCAAUAAGCGAAAGCUUGACGGGGCUAUCCCGAGUGCCAUCUGCUGAAGAUGGCUUUUGCCUAGUAUAGAUAGCUAGGGGAAUAAGGAGAGGGCAAGUCUGGUGUCAGCCGCCGCGGUAAUACCAGCUCUCCGAGUUGUGGGGAUAUUUAUUGGGCCUAAAGCAUCCGUAGCCGGCUGAACAAGUCCCCUGUUAGACCCAGCGACUAAUCGUUGGUCUGCGGGGGAUACUGUUCGGCUAGGGGGCGGGAGAGGCCGUCGGUAUUCCUGGGGUAGGGGGUGAAAUCCUAUAAUCCCAGGAGGACCACCAGUGGCGAAGGCUGUCGGCUAGAACGCGCCCGACGGUGAGGGAUGAAAGCUGGGGGGAGCGAACCGGAUUAGAUACCCGGGUAGUCCCAGCUGUAAACGAUGCAGGCUAGGUGUUAGGGCGGCUACGUGCCGCUCUAGUGCCGCAGGGAAGCUGUUAGGCCUGCCGCCUGGGGAGUACGGCCGCAAGGCUGAAACUUAAAGGAAUUGGCGGGGGAGCAC
rnacentral:rRNA from 1 species